UACGGAGGGGGCGAGCGUUAUUCGGAAUUAUUGGGCGUAAAGGGCGCGUAGGCGGCUGAACAAGUCAAAGGUGAAAUCCCUCGGCUCAACCGAGGAACUGCCUUUGAAACUGUUCGGCUUGAGGCCGGGAGGGGGUAGCGGAAUUCCCAGUGUAGCGGUGAAAUGCGUAGAUAUUGGGAGGAACACCAGUGGCGAAGGCGGCUACCUGGACCGGUUCUGACGCUGAGGCGCGAAAGCGUGGGUAGCAAACAGG
rnacentral:rRNA from 1 species